AUCAAUUUCUCCAUGGAAAGCAGGAAUUUGAGAGAUUUCAGAAAAGUCAGGAUUUGAAGAUCCUUAAUAUAUUCCUUGGCUGGACCUCGUGGUGGAAGAGGAGCGGAUGCCUGUCUGAGCCACAGGGCUGACUCAGCUCAAUCCCUUGAGCUUGAGGAUGGUUGCAGAGACCAUUGGCCUUCCCGUGCAUGUGACCAAGUGGCCUACUGCUCCCCUAGCCGGCUGUGCAUAGACAAUCAGGGAAAUCUCUUCACUGGCAGAUGCACGCGGUAAGGCUCCCUGAGGGCUGCUCAAUGGAAGCCGAAAGAUGUGGGGGCUGUUGAUAUAGUCCAUGCUGGACAGUGUUCCAGGUGUGAUGAAGCCUACAGAUUGGGACAUGAUUGCUGUUGAAAAGAUAGUUUGUGACUCACAGUUCCCAAGAGAAGGGGGCACACCAUGCAAUGGGGGUCACAUGGAGAAGCACCAGGGCUGGUCAGAAGCAGAGGGAGUGAGGAGAAAACAUGGCCAAAAGCCUUUAUUGUGAUUUCCACAGGAAGAAGCAGAAGUCACGGAACCCAUUGGCUCAGGGGAGGAUCCUGGCUGGAGAUAUAAAUGUGGGAGCCGUCAGAGCCUGCAUGAGACCACCUAGUGAGUAAGUGAUGCUGGAGGGAGAAGUGGUCAGAGGCAGAGCCCCUAGGAUCUCUGGCAUGCCAGGGUCAUGGAGAGGAGGAGGAACCCACAAAAGAGACUACGAAGGAACAGCCAGAAAAGAAGAGAGGAAACCAGGAGAUGGUAGCGCCCUGGAAGCCAAACGAAGAAGGUCUUUCAGGAGGACCAGACCCACCUGCCGAAGGCUAUGGGGUGGUCAAGGGAGAGAUGGGUUGAGAAAUGACCACUGGAUGAGGUGAUGUGGAGCAAGGGUGGGGCACAACCCCAAGGGGGAGCUCCAGAGGCAACCGUCCAGUCUCUCUACACAUCCUGUGCCCUCCCUGCCCAAUCCUUUUACAUCCCCUCUUCCUGCCUCGUCUCUCUCCCUGACCUGCUCCAUGCUCCAAUAUGGCGCCUGUGUUCUUCAUUCCUCUUGCGUAUGGUCCAUUUCCUCAUCACAUGUAGGCUCUGGGAGGUGGUGGAGUCUGUCCCUUCUGUGUGCAACUGAACCCCAGAACUGAGAGCAGUGCCUGACAGAGUCAGUGCUCUGAAAACACCGGGGUGAGUGAAUGAAUGAGUGAGGAAUGGAUGAAUGAAAAGGAGCUUACGCAUUAGCAGACCCGCAUGCUUCUCAGGUGCAGAGGGGAAAACAGAG
rnacentral:lncRNA from 1 species